CACGGCUACAGGAUCAGAACACAGAGGCUUGGCUGCAGGGUUUACGGCCUACCUCUAAUGACCUCUAUCCACAAGCUAGGCCCUGUCUCCCACAGUUCCACAGCCAUCUCUGACAGCACCGCUCCAGAUCAAACAGCCAACCUGUGUGAGAGCCAGAAUUCAAACCAGACAGAUGAGAGCAAACACGCCAAGGCCAGAAAAACAAAGUUCUUAAUGAUGUAUCACGAUUGCAACCCAAUGACGAAGCUUGUUAUCCUUUCCUGUCUAUGGAGAUCUUAGCUGCACUUAAGAGCUUCCAACGAGAAGGUCACCGAAAGGUGUGCUGUCACGUCACUGUCUGAAAUUUGUACCUAAGUCCUGGAGACCGAUCCACACCUGACCUGGAGCAAUACGGUCCACUUAGUACACCUUGUUGUGAGAAAUGCCUUCUCUGUGUGCUGUGAGGUGAAAGAAAGCUGGAAAGCUGGAUUCCACACAUCAGAGGGACCCAUCUUCCCUUUUAGUAGUACCACAUCAUCUGAAAAGAGAAAGGGGUCUGUUCGACUUCGCACGGCGGGGCCGGCGCAGUGGCCAUCAUGCCUACAGACUACACUCUGCCCCUGCCACCAGUGGAAGAGCCAUCAGGAUCGGUGACCCCAGGAGAGGCCCCUAAUGAAACAGGAAAGCAAUGCUGUCUGCGAUUUUUCAACCAUCAGACUCGUGGGAUUAAAAAAAAGGGGAAAAAUAUGUCAUUUGCAAAUGCAAAGAACUUUCCUAUGAUCGCAGUCAGCAUGGAUGUGAACGGCGCAUUUAACUUCACAGGAGCCCGAUGCUGCGCUCAGGGGCUCUGGAUUCUCUUCACUCUCCCACCGUUAGCAACUGAGAGGCCAUCUUUAUGA
rnacentral:lncRNA from 1 species